UACGGAGGGAGCUAGCGUUGUUCGGAAUUACUGGGCGUAAAGCGCGCGUAGGCGGCUUUGUAAGUUAGAGGUGAAAGCCCGGGGCUCAACUCCGGAACUGCCUUUAAGACUGCAUCGCUUGAAUCCGGGAGAGGUGAGUGGAAUUCCGAGUGUAGAGGUGAAAUUCGUAGAUAUUCGGAAGAACACCAGUGGCGAAGGCGACUCACUGGACACGUAUUGACGCUGAGGUGCGAAAGCGUGGGGAGCAAACAGG
rnacentral:rRNA from 1 species